GAGUUUGAUCAUGGCUCAGAUUNAACGCUGGCGGCAGGCCUAACACAUGCAAGUCGAGCGGAAACGAGUUAUCUGAACCUUCGGGGAACGAUAACGGCGUCGAGCGGCGGACGGGUGAGUAAUGCCUAGGAAAUUGCCCUGAUGUGGGGGAUAACCAUUGGAAACGAUGGCUAAUACCGCAUAAUGCCUACGGGCCAAAGAGGGGGACCUUCGGGCCUCUCGCGUCAGGAUAUGCCUAGGUGGGAUUAGCUAGUUGGUGAGGUAAUGGCUCACCAAGGCGACGAUCCCUAGCUGGUCUGAGAGGAUGAUCAGCCACACUGGAACUGAGACACGGUCCAGACUCCUACGGGAGGCAGCAGUGGGGAAUAUUGCACAAUGGGCGCAAGCCUGAUGCAGCCAUGCCGCGUGUGUGAAGAAGGCCUUCGGGUUGUAAAGCACUUUCAGUCGUGAGGAAGGUAGUGUAGUUAAUAGCUGCAUUAUUUGACGUUAGCGACAGAAGAAGCACCGGCUAACUCCGUGCCAGCAGCCGCGGUAAUACGGAGGGUGCGAGCGUUAAUCGGAAUUACUGGGCGUAAAGCGCAUGCAGGUGGUUUGUUAAGUCAGAUGUGAAAGCCCGGGGCUCAACCUCGGAAUUGCAUUUGAAACUGGCAGACUAGAGUACUGUAGAGGGGGGUAGAAUUUCAGGUGUAGCGGUGAAAUGCGUAGAGAUCUGAAGGAAUACCGGUGGCGAAGGCGGCCCCCUGGACAGAUACUGACACUCAGAUGCGAAAGCGUGGGGAGCAAACAGGAUUAGAUACCCUGGUAGUCCACGCCGUAAACGGUGUCUACUUGGAAGGUUGUGGCCUUGAGCCGUGGCUUUCGGAGCUAACGCGUUAAGUAGACCGCCUGGGGGAGUACGGUCGCNAGAUUAAAACUCAAUUGAAUNGACGGGGGCCCNCACAAGCGGUGGAGCAUGUGGUUUAAUUCGAUGCACGCGAANANCUUACCUAC
rnacentral:rRNA from 1 species